rnacentral:rRNA from 1 species
AACAGCCAUGGGUACAUAUACGAGCAAUGCUUAAAACCCAAAGGAUUUGACGGUAUCCCAUCCACCUAGAGGAGCCUGUUCUAUAAUCGAUAACCCCCGCUAUACCCAACCACUCCUAGCUUAUCAGCCUGUAUACCUCCGUCGAAAGCCUACCAUGUGAAUGUUCUUAGUAAGCUUAAUGUCCCCGUCAAAACGUCAGGUCAAGGUGCAGCUCAUGGAAUGGAAAGCAAUGGGCUACAAUUUCUAACUUAGAACAUACGAAAAACCAGGUGAAACCCUGGUCAUGAAGGCGGAUUUAGCAGUAAAAAGAAAAUAGAGUGUUCUUUUUAACCCGGCCCUGGGAUGUGUACACACCGCCCGUCACCCUCUUCAACUGUAAUUAACACUGUUUUAUAACUCUCCCCCCACAUUCUAGAAGAGGCAAGUCGUAACAUGGUAAGUGUACUGGAAAGUGCACUUGGCUAACAA